AUGUAUACUAUGAAAAGGAAGAGUAGUUAAAUCCCUUAGCUACAGAGAGUCAGGCUGGUGGAAACUGAUGCUAAUAUUUAAUGAAGACACCUUGGAGUUAACAAACUGAGUUUGUUCGCUUAAAUUGCGUUAUAUUAUUAAGUGAGGUUCUAGCCUAAUUAGGGUGGCACCGCGAGAAAACAGCCUCUCGUCCCUGAA
rnacentral:ncRNA from 2 species